rnacentral:rRNA from 1 species
UCGAACGCACCCUUCGGGGUGAGUGGCAGACGGGUGAGUAACGCGUGGGAACGUACCCUUUGGUUCGGAAUAGCCCUUGGAAACGAGGAGUAAUACCGAAUGAGCCCUACGGGGGAAAGAUUUAUCGCCGAAGGAUCGGCCCGCGUUAGAUUAGCUAGUUGGUGAGGUAAUGGCUCACCAAGGCGACGAUCUAUAGCUGGUUUGAGAGGAUGAUCAGCCACACUGGGACUGAGACACGGCCCAGACUCCUACGGGAGGCAGCAGUGGGGAAUCUUGGACAAUGGGGGAAACCCUGAUCCAGCCAUGCCGCGUGAAUGAUGAAGGCCUUAGGGUUGUAAAAUUCUUUCAGUGGGGAAGAUAAUGACGGUACCCACAGAAGAAGCCCCGGCUAACUCCGUGCCAGCAGCCGCGGUAAUACGGAGGGGGCUAGCGUUGUUCGGAAUUACUGGGCGUAAAGCGCGCGUAGGCGGACUAGCCAGUCAGAGGUGAAAGCCCAGGGCUCAACCCUGGAACUGCCUUUGAUACUGUUAGUCUGGAGUCCGGGAGAGGUGUGUGGAAUUCCGAGUGUAGAGGUGAAAUUCGUAGAUAUUCGGAGGAACACCAGAGGCGAAAGCGGCACACUGGACCGGUACUGACGCUGAGGCGCGAAAGCGUGGGGAGCAAACAGGA